GGGACCGUGGCUCAGUUGGUAGAGCAUCUGCUGCGCAUGCAGAAGGUCCCAGGAUCAAUCCCCGGCGUCGCCA